rnacentral:rRNA from 1 species
AUUGAACGCUGGCGGCAGGCCUAACACAUGCAAGUCGAACGGUAACAGGAAACAGCUUGCUGUUUCGCUGACGAGUGGCGGACGGGUGAGUAAUGUCUGGGAAACUGCCUGAUGGAGGGGGAUAACUACUGGAAACGGUAGCUAAUACCGCAUAACGUCGCAAGACCAAAGAGGGGGACCCUCGGGCCUCUUGCCAUCGGAUGUGCCCAGAUGGGAUUAGCUUGUUGGUGGGUAACGGCUCACCAAGGCGACGAUCCCUAGCUGGUCUGAGAGGAUGACCAGCCACACUGGAACUGAGACACGGUCCAGACUCCUACGGGAGGCAGCAGUGGGGAAUAUUGCACAAUGGGCGCAAGCCUGAUGCAGCCAUGCCGCGUGUAUGAAGAAGGCCUUCGGGUUGUAAAGUACUUUCAGCGGGGAGGAAGGGAGUAAAGUUAAUACCUUUGCUCAUUGACGUUACCCGCAGAAGAAGCACCGGCUAACUCCGUG